AUAUACUCUAAUUCGCAAGUUGAAUCAGCCACUGUCUCUUGCUUGGAACUGUUCCAAGAAAUUGCUCCUCCGUUUAAGGUAAAGACCCAGCCUGACUGAGAGCGGAAAUUAUCCAUAUCAACCUAAAAGCUAGCAUCACUAUACCCUACAACUCUCAAGUCAUCACUCCCACCGAGGGUAAGGACCCAGUCCUUAGUCCUCCGUAGGUACUUGAGGAUAUUCUUUACCGCAGUCCAGUGUGCCUUGCCAGGGUUCGCCUGAUACCUGCUAACCAUGCUCAAGGCAAAAGCUACAUCGGGUCGAGUACACGUCAUAGCAUACAUGAUCGAUCCUACAGCCGAAGCGUAAGGUGUUCGACUCAUUUCUGCUAUCUCAGCCUCAGUGCUAGGGCUUUGUGUCUUACUCAAUCUGGUGUUACUCUGGAUGGGUAACUCUCCUUUCUUGGAAUCCUGCAUGCUGAAUCUCUUCAGCACCUUAUCCAAGUAGGUACUCUGACUAAGUCCAAUUAGUCUUUUACUCCGAUCUCUCAAGAUUCUUAUCCCUAGAAUAUAGGCAGCUUCACCAAGGUCCUUCAUAGCGAAACACUUCCCAAGCCAGGACUUUACUUCCUGCAGGGUUGGAAUGUCGUUUCCUAUGAGUAGUAUGUCAUCCACAUACAAUACCAAAAAGCUAACUAUACUCCCACUAGCCUUGACAUACACACAAGAUUCAUCUUCACUCCUAGAAAAGCCAAAUUCCUUGACCUUUUCAUCAAAGCAAAGAUUCCAUCUGCGAGGUGCUUGCUUCAAUCCAUAAAUGGAUUUCUCAAGCUUACACACUCUAUUAGGGUACUCGUUGCUGACAAAACCCUCUGGCUGACUCAUGUAAACAUCUUCAGCCAACUUUCCAUUAAGGAAAGCGGUUUUGACAUCCAUCUGCCAUAUUUCAUAGUCAUGAAAUGCAGCUAUGGCUAACAGAACCCGAAUAGACUUAAUCUUGGCUACCGGAGAAAAGGUCUCAUCAUAAUCCACUCCAGGAAUUUGAGAGAAGCCCUUUGCAACCAGUCUAGCCUUAUAAGUGUGUACUUUACCAUCCAUGUCGGUCUUCUUCUUGAAGACCCAUUUGCACCCUACUGUCUUACGACCUGGUACAUUUUCAACCAAGUUCCAAACUUGAUUGUCAUACAUGGAUUGUAUCUCGCUAUCCAUAGCCUCUUUCCAUUUAGCAGACUCGGGGCCUGCCAUGGCUUCCUCGUAGCUGUUAGGGUCAUCUUGACUUACUAGUGUCUCAUCACUAAUAAGUGUCUCACCUUCUGCAGUAAUAUGGAAUCCAUAGUAAUGCUCAGGUGCACUCCUAACUCUCGUGGAACGUCUCAGAGGUACAGAUUUGUCAAUUGGCUCAACAGGAGUUUCCUCCUCAAGUUGAGGGCUAGAGUUUGAAGUUCCUUCACCGCUUGAUUCUUGAAUUUCUUCAAGAUCAAUUUGCCUCCCACUGUCUCCUUGGCUUAUAAACUCUCUUUCUCGAAAGACUCCUCUUCUUGCUACAAAGACCACAUUGUCACUAGGUCUGUAGAAGAGGUAACCAAAGGAUCGCUGUGGGUAACCGAUGAAAAUACACCUCUCGCUUCGAGGUUCGAGCUUAUCAUGAGUCUCGCGUCUCACGAAAGCCUCGCAACCCCAAAUCUUGAUGUGGUCUAGUUUAGGUACUUUACCAGUCCACAUCUCGUGAGGAGUUUUGGCAACUUUCUUUGUAGGGACUAGAUUAAGAAUAUGGGCGGCAGUCUCUAAGGCAUACCCCCAGAAUGAGAUUGGUAGCGUAGCUCGACUCAUCAUGGAACGAACCAUAUCUAACAAGGUUCGAUUACGCCUCUCAGCCACACCAUUCAACUGUGGUGUCCUGGGAGGUGUCAAUUGUGAGACUAUCCCACAUUCCCUUAGAUAGUCGAGGAACUCUGAACUAAGAUACUCACCACCACGAUCGGAUCGAAGCAUCUUAAUGUUCCUGCCCAAUUGAUUCUCGACUUCCUGUUUAAAUUCCUUAAACCUCUCGAAAGUCUCUGACUUAUGCUUGAUCAAGUAGACAUAUCCAUAUCUACUAUAAUCAUCAGUAAAAGUCAAAUAAUAACGAUUAGCAUCCCUUGUGGCAUGUUUGAAUGGUCCACACACAUCCGUGUGUAUAAGGUCCAACAAACCUUCACCCCUCUCACACGAACCUGUGAAGGGUGACUUUGUCAUUUUUCCAAGUAAGCAUGAUUCGCAACUAUCAUCUGACUUUAGGUCAAACGACUCCAAGACUCCAUCCUUUUGGAGUUGGCCUAUGCGUUUCUUGCUUAUAUGUCCAAGACGACAAUGCCAUAAAGAUGCUUUAUCCAAGUUAUUAUUAGUAGAAUCAAUACACAAAACAUUAUUUCCCAAGUUAUCUACAACAGAUACAGCUUCAUACACACCAUCACAAGGUAAUGCUUUAAAAUAAAAGACAUUAUUAUAGAAAACAUCUAUAGAACCAACUUCAUUAUUAAAUGAAAAGGUAAACCCUUGUUUGUACAAAGCAUGAAAGGAAAUAAUAUUUCUUGCCAUUCCUGGCGAAUAACAACACUUAUUCAAAUCUAAACUAAACCCACUACUUAGCGAUAAAGUAUAAACUCCAAUCUUGGUAACAGGUAUAGCUUUCCUAUUCCCCAUGAUCAAGUUUAUCCUUCCUUGCUCCACAUCCUCACUUCUUCUUAGUCCCUGCAAGUCACAACAAAUGUGAAUACCACACCCGGUAUCAAGGACCCAAGAAUUAGAAUGGGGUGAGUUAUUAGAAAUGAUAGUGUAAAUACCUGCAUGGUUGGGUUUAACUUUCCCAUCCUUCACAUCUUGCUGGUAUUUUGGGCAGUUCCGCUUCCAAUGAGCUUUUUCAUGGCAAUAGAAGCAUUCAGCCUCUUUUGGGUCAGAAGAAGGAGUAAUGAAACCUUUCUUGGUUCCACUUGAAGAAGAGCCAUCAAGGGUCCGAACCUUGGUACCCUUAGAAGAGCUCUUUCUCUUCCUCCCUCGACUUUUCCCGAUUGCCAAAACCGGAGUAGAGUUUUGAGUAGGAGUGAUAGCAACCGACUUCCCCUUAAGACCUGAUUCUGCGGUCUUGAGAAGUCCCUGAAGUUUGCUGAGGGUGACUUCUUCCUUGUUCAUGUGAUAUGUCAUGCGGAAUUGAUCAUAGCACGAUGGUAAGGAAUGCAAAAUAAUAUCUAUUGCAAGAUCCUCCGGGAAGUUCACAUUAAGCUUCAGCAAACGAUCCACAUACCUUUGCAUUUUCUGCAUGUGGCUCGUGACGGAUUCCCCGUCCUUCAUCAUGGUUGUUAUCAUGGAGCAGAUGAUUUCAUACCUCUCUUGUCUUGCACUUUGAUGGUAUCUUUCCAUCAAAUCUUGGUGCAUUUCAUAAGGGUAGAAAUCCUCAUAAGACUUUUGGAGUUCCGCUGUCAUCGUGGCCAUCAUGAUGCAAGCCACUUUCGUAGCAUCCCUUUCAUGUGCCCGAAAUUCAGCGAUCUCCUGAGGAGUUGCAGUGGACUCAUCAAUCUCCUUAAGCUCCUUGUCAAGGACAUAUUCUUUGUCCUCGUAGCGGGUAAUCAUCCUGAUGUUUCUGAUCCACUCAUUGAAGUUGGAUCCAUCAAAGGUGACUUUCCCACACAAGUUCAUAAGGGUAAAGGAGCCAUUAGGAUUAGAGCCAGAAGCAUUGUUGAAAGACAUCUGAAGGAAAGAGGACAAGAUUAGUUUAGAUAUAAGAGAGUCCUUAAUAAAACACCCAAAUGUAAUAUUAAGGCUAGGAUCCAAUCACAAUAUAAUAUAACUUAGAAGAGGUAUGCCGUAAUCUAAGCUAUAUCAUAUUUGAAAGGUAGGUGAAUGACGAUUCACCAAUUUCCACCACGAAAACCGCAAUAUUUUAGUAUUAGGUUUUUGAAUGGUUCUUAGAAAUUCCUAGAUUCUUUGAGAUUCAAUGAACUUUUCAAAGGCAUGUUUCAAUCUCGAGUGUGCCCUCCAAGUUUUGUGACUGGGAUACCGAGGAUCACAAAACGAGGUGUGAAGUAACCAUGCAAAUCACUUGGUACCCUUAAAGUUUAUCACUCAAUCGAUGUGCCGGUUAACCACACACGCUCCAUCGAUACUAUAAUAAACCCUAAGUCACCCUUUACCUACCUUGUUAAGUCCAAGUUAGUGUGCCGGUUAACCACACACGCUCCACCAACGACUUAAUCAAAGUGUAAAGUGUAAUUUCAUGGAAUAGCACCUUAUUCACAUUUUUCCUAAAGUAACUAAGAUUGGGAAUUUAAUAAAACAUUUAGUUACUUUAUAAUAUUCAUCAUACUUUGAAUGAGAAUUAAUAAGUCCUUGUCUUACCCGUUCGGCUAACGACCCUCCACCGAUCAAGCAAGCGGUGGGUGAGAGUGGACACCCAUUAAGUCACCAUUUUAUAGGCAACAACCUUAUACCCACCUUAUAGACCGGCUUCGUGAAUGAGGCGUACUAGCGGUAAGACGACUUUGUUCUUAUACAUAUAUAUAUAAUUAUUAAAUCAUAAUAAUAUAAGUAUAAGGGUUGAAUUUUAACUUUUAAAAUUCUAGGGGUUGGAACUAAAGUUUUAACUUAACUUUACUUGUUCCAAAACUUGAGGGCAAGUUUUGUAAACUUUCAAAACUUUUCAUUUCUUGUAACUUAUGAGUUUAAUAGAGUAAUAAAAUGAGGACUUUUCAUUUUUCCUAACUCUUGUGUUCUUUUAAUGGUUUUUAAUCCAAGAGACUUUUGGUUUUCCAUAACUUGAGGACAAGUUAUGGACUCCAUUAAAACACAUUAUGAUCAUGAAUUAAUCUACCACAUAGGUUACAAAUAAUUCCUAUGAUCAUCUAAACAUCAUAAGAACAAGAAUAUGAAUAUGAACACUUUCAAGAAUCAAAAUCACAUUUAAUCUUUGUAAUUUUGAUAACUAGUUGUUGUAAAUGAGUUAGAAAAGACAUUACACCUUCUAAAAUAAGUUUUCAAGUACCAAAACAUUUUAGGGUAAUGAUUCUAAUCCAUUUCCAGCAACUCAAGUCGAAAUUCUGCACUCUGUCGACCCUACUCGCCGAGUGCAUAAACCUACUCGCCGAGUAGGUUGAAGAUACACAUGAACUCGACGAGUCCUCCCCAUGGACUCGCCGAGUCCAUCAGUCAGACAGCAAGAUUUUCGACUUUCUUCAACUUUUAAGCACAAAUAACAAACAAACAAGCCUAGGCUCUGAUACCACUGAUGGGUUUUGAGCAUUCUAACACUUCCUAAGUGUACAUGCAACCCUAAUAACCUUGGAUCUAUGUUUGUCUAAUUAUCAUGCAAAGUUGAAUUCCAAGGUUAUAUUCCUAUCUAGCAUACAUGGGGAACAAUUUUAACUUGAAUCAUAGAUAGAAUAACUUACCUUGUUGUUGCUUGUGUUCCUUGAAACCUUGUGAGCCUAGCACCCCAAGUGUGAUGCCUCAAAUGCUUCACACAACACCAAAUGCUCUUGGAAAGACUCUUGAGAUAACACACACUUCUCAAAAUCGGCCAAGCCCUCUAGUUUCUUAGUGUAGCCGAUUUUGGUGGAGAAUAUGAUUCUUAUAUAGUGUUGACACAUCUAGGGUUACACCAUGUAAACCCUAAUGUGUCAUGACUCUUCAUUUCCAUGACCCAUGGGUUUGUAACUCCCAUGGAGCAUCCAUGGAGCAUCCUAUGGGUAGAACCCAACUUGAUAAUCCAUGGAGCCUCUUAGCCCACUAUACAAGAUAUGGAUGAUUUACAUAAUCAACCCAUAUAUUUAAUUAGUUAUCCUUUGAUCACUUAAUUAAUUCCAAAUUAAUUCUUUGAUCAACUAAUCAAAUAAUAUUAUUAAUAUAUUAGAACUUAUAAUAUAUUAAUAAUCUCCAAGUGUUAUUUCUCUCAUUUAGUCUAUCCAAUUGCAUGGUGCCAUGCAACCCAAAUGGACCAUGCCGGGUCGGGUCAAGUACAAGCCCGAAAUAGUUAUGGACUUAGACACCUUAUCCAACAGUCUCCCACUUGGAUAAGUCUAAUAACUAUAUCUCUAGUACUUCAGGAACCGACCGGCAAUCGUAGCUCUUUCAAGGUCUCUCGGAACUGAGAAGAUGAUGGUACGCCAUUUAAGAUAAGUGAUCAUAUAAUCCUCCGUUCUAGAUAUCAGCCGGACAAAUACAUGGAACAUUGUCUUGCUUAUUGUCCAGCAUUUGUUUCCCGAUUUCCGAUUUGUUUGACAUAGAACUUAAUUGAACACAUCAACUUAGUUCUGACCGGGCCCGGUACAUGGGUCAAAACAAAAUCAUCGAGGGGCCCAGAUAUCAGCUUCUAAUCCAAGAAGGAACAGAUAAACUUCGACUCAUAUGUUUGUUCUACCACUCAUUGAAUUACACACAAAAGUACGUUUUAUAACAUCGAGUUACCAAUGCGGUUUCGUACAGUCAAUGCAUAACCAACUUGUAAGUAACAAAUCAUAUCUCUAGGUUUGAAGACUUAUAUGAUAUUACCGUCUCACGAUCACUCGAGAUAGAAUUCCAUGAAGUGAUUCCAGUGAGCGUGGGUUGAGUCCAAUGCUCAGAACUUAUGAGCACUCAUGAUUGUUGUAGCCUUGUCCAACACCUUAGACCUCUACAACCCAUCAUGACAGUCUUGAUUCAUACCUACUUCCGACAUAUGACCGACUGUGGAGGUUUGAAUAAUAUGUUACACCAAACAAAAUUAUUCUGGAAGUCAAAACAUGCAAAAGAAAUAUAGUAAACGAUUGACAAGAGAUAGCAACACUUUACUCAUAAAUAAAACACCUUUUAUUCAUCAUCAAAUGUCAAUUACACUUUACAAAUUUCUGGGUUAUCUAACUACUAAAACUUAUAUCAUCCUUCAGCCCUAUGCUCCGAGCAUGCUGGAGAUGCUUAACCCUACUCAGUCCCUUCGUGAGGGGAUCUGCUGGGUUCUCAUCCGAUGAUACCCUCUUUGCCACGAGGAGUCCUUCUUCGAUCCGAUGUCUAAUGAAAUGGUAUUUUCUGUCGAUGUGUCUGGAUCUCCCAUGAUCCCUUGGUUCCUUGGCUAAGGCAACAGCACUUUCACUAUCACAGAAAAUUUCCAUUGGCUCUUUAAUAGCUGGUACAACUCCAAGGUCUCCAAUGAAGUUCUUCAGCCAUAUCGCCUCCUUUGCUGCUUCGCUAGCUGCAAUAUACUCUGAUUCACAAGUAGAAUCUGCCACUGUCUCUUGCUUGGAACUCUUCCAAGAAAUUGCUCCUCCGUUUAGGGUAAAGACCCAGCCCGACUGAGAGCGGAAAUUAUCCCUAUCAGUCUGGAAGCUAGCAUCACUAUACCCUACAACUCUCAAGUCAUCACUCCCACCGAGGGUAAGGACCCAGUCCUUAGUCCUCCGUAGGUACUUGAGGAUAUUCUUUACCGCAGUCCAGUGUGCCUUGCCAGGGUU
rnacentral:lncRNA from 1 species